rnacentral:rRNA from 1 species
UGGGGAAUAUUGCACAAUGGGCGCAAGCCUGAUGCAGCAACGCCGCGUGAGGGACGACGGCCUUCGGGUUGUAAACCUCUUUUAGUAGGGAAGAAGCGAAAGUGACGGUACCUGCAGAAAAAGCACCGGCUAACUACGUGCCAGCAGCCGCGGUAAUACGUAGGGUGCGAGCGUUGUCCGGAAUUAUUGGGCGUAAAGAGCUCGUAGGCGGUCUGUCGCGUCUGCUGUGAAAACCCGAGGCUCAACCUCGGGCCUGCAGUGGGUACGGGCAGACUAGAGUGCGGUAGGGGAGAAUGGAAUUCCUGGUGUAGCGGUGGAAUGCGCAGAUAUCAGGAGGAACACCGAUGGCGAAGGCAGUUCUCUGGGCCGUAACUGACGCUGAGGAGCGAAAGCGUGGGGAGCGAACAGGAUUAGAUACCCUGGUAGUCCACGCCGUAAACGUUGGGCGCUAGAUGUGGGGACCAUUCCACGGUUUCCGUGUCGCAGCUAACGCAUUAAGCGCCCCGCCUGGGGAGUACGGCCGCAAGGCUAAAAAC